CUAAUAGUGGCGUAGUAGGCGCUGUAAUCCCGAGAGGUUGGAGAAGUUUUGCUGUCCAGGAACUGCCGGAUCUUUAGCUCAACGUCAGUGUUGACUUUCUCCAGGAUCCGCACAUUCUCCAGGUGCAGUUUUCCCACAGAUGUCAGACUUUUCUGCCCGAAGAGGACCCAUGCGAGGACACUGGACCAUCCAUGGCGCUUCAUGUGCACCAACGUGCAUUUGCACGUCCACAUUACACGGCGCUUCAUUGGAGUCAAUCCAGAGAGGGGUUCAAAGGCCACAAGGGGAAAGGGUCUCUCAAAGAAGACUGGGUCAAUUGUCCAGAAAAAACACUGCACAGUAAAUGGAAAGGUCUCCACCCUUCUGGAGAACCUCGUUGACUUUCAAUGGGACUUCAUAUAGACCUUACAUACAUCUUAUUGCUGUCUCUGUCCACUUUGUUUUAUUGCCAAAAGAGGUUUUCCAGGAGUUUAAUUAUUAUAUUUAGCUUUUGACCUGAUAGAUCAUUAUUUGCUAUUAAGACAAACUGUAUGCGAUUGGUUUAUCUAAAAAUGUAGAUUUGUGGUUUAAUUCCUAUUUGCAUAACAGCAAUGUGUUGUUAUAAAUGGGAAUACGUCUGUAUUUUAUCCAACAAAGAGGUGUACCACAAGGUUCAAUAUUAGUUAACUCCUUUUUUCUAUUUAUGUUAAUGAUUUGCCAUUAGUUCUUAGAAAUUGUCAAGUACAACUUUAUGCUGAUGAUAUUGUCAUGUAUGUAUCUAAUUCUGACUCAUUAAAAAUUCAGUCAUUCCUUCAGAUGGGUUUUGGAUAUUUUACAAGAUUGGUUUAAGGAUAAUAAAUUGGUGCUUAAAAAAAAAUAAAUCUUACAUUAUGAUGUUUAUGACAAGUCUAUGAAUAAUUCCAGUGUGAUUGCAUGUAAAGAUGGUACUCGACUACAAGUGGAUACUAUCAAAUAUUUUGGUUUAUGGCUAGAUUCUGAACUUUCCUUAACUCAUAUUAAGUGUGUUUUAUAUAUGGUUAAUUUUGGCAUUAGUACUUUAUGACGA